CCGGAAUAUUGAAUUGUUCCCAUUCCGGUUAUUGUUGUAGGAGGUUAGUGUUCUCCUGUGGCUCAAUGUUAACACGCACAAUUAAGUUGAACUCGGCCCAGAAAUGUUCUUGACAAGAGCAUAGAAGUCCAUGGAGUCAUUUUUACCUGAAAGUACUGGUGAGUUGACAUGAAAGUAACAAAAGCUGGUCCAAUUUGUCUCUGUUCAGACGCCAUGAGAAGCUCCCUUUGGUGUGCAUCAAAGUUCAGUUUUUAAUGGUUUUUGUAGCGCCUUGGUUCUUCCCUGAAUUGGUUUGAAUUGGUGGGCAGACUCCCCUUCCACUUGCUAUGUGUAAAUAUCAUGGAGCCGACCCACUACAGCAGAGCACUUUUCCUGUUACUCUAGCUUGUGCGCCUUACGUAGACAACCCGCCCAUAGUUCAAAAUACCACCACUUAAAACUCAAGUUUCUGAGGAUAGGGGUGGUUUCUGACGGAACCAAAAGCAGUUUUGUGGUCCCCUCGUUCCCUUCUGUCGAUUCGACUACUUUUCCGUCGAAAUCUGGACCGAUCAAUUUUCGCUAAAAACACAAAGGCUAUAGCCUUUGUAAAUUUGGCCAAAAAUGAAAAAAAUUAAAAUCGCUCGAAAUGGUUGGGAUUGGUCCGACAGCAUCCUCUUUCAAUCUCCCCGUCGAAAUUUCACGCCGCCGGGCCAUUUUAAGUGAGUUACGCCCGUUUUUCUUGGGCGCCCCUGCAAGGUAGGCAGCCCGCCGUACGCUGCCCGCCAGAUUCAAAAGACCACCCCUUAAAACUCAAGUUUCUGAGGACAGGGGUAGUUUCUGACGGAACCAAAAGUAGUUUUGUGGUCCCCUGGUUCACCCCUGUCGAUUCGACUACUUUUCCGUCGAAAUCCGGACCCACCCAUUUUCGCUAAAAACACAAA